rnacentral:tRNA from 1 species
GGCUCAUAGCUCAGUGGCAGAGCAUCUGCAUUGCAUGCAGAAGGUUCCAGGUUCAUUCCCUGACAUCUCCA